rnacentral:rRNA from 1 species
ACUGUACCCGAAUAAGAAGGUCCGGCUAACUUCGUGCCAGCAGCCGCGGUAAUACGAAGGGACCUAGCGUAGUUCGGAAUUACUGGGCUUAAAGAGUUCGUAGGUUGUUGAAAAAGUUGGUGGUGAAAUCCCAGAGCUUAACUCUGGAACUGCCAUCAAAACUUUUCAGCUAGAGUUUGAUAGAGGAAAGCAGAAUUUCUAGUGUAGAGGUGAAAUUCGUAGAUAUUAGAAAGAAUACCAAUUGCGAAGGCAGCUUUCUGGAUCAUUACUGACACUGAGGAACGAAAGCAUGGGUAGCGAAGAGGAUUAGAUACCCUCGUAGUCCAUGCCGUAAACGAUGUGUGUUAGACGUUGGAAAUUUAUUUUCAGUGUCGCAGCGAAAGCGAUAAACACACCGCCUGGGGAGUACGACCGCAAGGUUAAAACUCAAAUGAAUUGACGGGGACCCGCACAAGUAGUGGAGCAUGUGGUUUAAUUCGAAGAUACGCGCAGAACCUUACCAACACUUGACAUGUUCGUCGCGACUUUAAGAGAUUAAAGUUUUCGGUUCGGCCGGACGAAACACAGGUGCUGCAUGGCUGUCGUCAGCUCGUGUCGUGAGAUGUUGGGUUAAGUCCCGCAACGAGCGCAACCCUCACUUUUAGUUGCCAUCAUUAAGUUGGGCACUCUGAAAGAACUGCCAGUGAUAAGCUGGAGGAAGGUGGGGAUGACGUCAAGUCCUCAUGGCCCUUACGUGUUGGGCUACACACGUGCUACAAUGGUAUCUACAACAGGAAGCAAGACGGCGACGUUAAGCAAAUCCUUAAAAGAUACCUCAGUUCGGAUUGUACUCUGCAACUCGAGUACAUGAAGCUGGAAUUACUAGUAAUCGUGGAUCAGCGUGCCACGGUGAAUGCGUUCCCGGGUCUUGUACACACCGCCCGUCACACCAUGGGAGUUGGUUCUACCUUAAGGCAAGGUUUUAAACCCUUGACCACGGUAUAGUCAGCGACUGGGGUGAAGUCGUAACAAGGUAGCCGUAGGGGAACCUGCGGCUG